rnacentral:rRNA from 1 species
GACGAACGCUGGCGGCGUGCCUAACACAUGCAAGUCGAGCGGGGUUGAAGCGAGAGGUAACUCGAACUUCUACCUAGCGGCGGACGGGUGAGUAACGCGUGGGCAACCUGCCUCAAGGUCUGGGAUAACAGCCCGAAAGGGCUGCUAAUACUGGGUAUGCUUGUGGCCUCGCAUGGGGCUAUGAGCAAAGGGGAAACCCGCCUUGAGAUGGGCCCGCGUCCCAUCAGCUAGUUGGUGAGGUAACAGCUCACCAAGGCGACGACGGGUAGCCGGCCUGAGAGGGUGACCGGCCACACUGGGACUGAGACACGGCCCAGACUCCUACGGGGGGCAGCAGUGGGGGAUCUUGCACAAUGGGCGAAAGCCUGAUGCAGCGACGCCGCGUGAGCGAAGAAGGCCUCGGUUGUAAAGCUCUGUCUGUAGGGACGAAGGAAGGUAGACGGGUACCUUCCGGACGGGAAGCCGACGGCGUAACGUACGUGCCAGCAGCCGCGGUAAAGUACACGUCG